GACGAACGCUGGCGGCGUGCUUAACACAUGCAAGUCGAACGGACAGGCCCCUUUGUGGGUACUCGAGCGGCGAACGGGUGCGUAACACUUAAGUAACCUGCCCCUGACUUCGGGAUAACUUCAGGAUACUGGAGCUAAUACCGAAUAGGAAUCAUUUCUGCAUCGUGGUGGUUGGAAAGCUUCGGCGGUUAUGGCUGGAUUGGCUGCUUAUCAGCUUGCUGGUGUGGCUGUGGCUUACCGAGGCGGUGUCGGGUAGCCGGCCUGAGAGGGCGACCGGCCACACUGGGACCGAGGGGAGGCAGAGACAGCUAAGCGAGGGAGCAGUGGGGAAGAUUGCAGGAUGGGCGGAAGCCUGAUGCAGCAACGCCGCGGGCGGGAUGACGGCCUUCGGGUUGUAGACCGCUUUCGGCAGGGGCGAAGCUCGUGGUGACGGUACCUGAAGAAGAAGCAACGGCUAACUACGUG
rnacentral:rRNA from 1 species